UACGGAGGGUGCGAGCGUUGUCCGGAAUCACUGGGCGUAAAGAGCUCGUAGGUGGUUUGUCGCGUUGUUCGUGAAAUGCCACAGCUUAACUGUGGGCGUGCGGGCGAUACGGGCAGACUGGAGUACUGCAGGGGAGACUGGAAUUCCUGGUGUAGCGGUGGAAUGCGCAGAUAUCAGGAGGAACACCGGUGGCGAAGGCGGGUCUCUGGGCAGUAACUGACGCUGAGGAGCGAAAGCGUGGGGAGCGAACAGG
rnacentral:rRNA from 1 species